UUUGAGACCGGCGCACGGGUGCGUAACGCGUAUGCAAUCUACCUUUUACAGAGGGAUAGCCCAGAGAAAUUUGGAUUAAUACCUCAUAGUAUAGUGAGUUGGCAUCAACACACUAUUAAAGUCACAACGGUAAAAGAUGAGCAUGCGUCCCAUUAGCUAGUUGGUAAGGUAACGGCUUACCAAGGCAACGAUGGGUAGGGGUCCUGAGAGGGAGAUCCCCCACACUGGUACUGAGACACGGACCAGACUCCUACGGGAGGCAGCAGUGAGGAAUAUUGGUCAAUGGGCGCAAGCCUGAACCAGCCAUGCCGCGUGCAGGAUGACGGUCCUAUGGAUUGUAAACUGCUUUUGCACAGGAAGAAACACUCGGUCGUGACCGAGCUUGACGGUACUGUGAGAAUAAGGAUCGGCUAACUCCGUGCCAGCAGCCGCGGUAAUACGGAGGAUCCAAGCGUUAUCCGGAAUCAUUGGGUUUAAAGGGUCCGUAGGCGGCCAGAUAAGUCAGUGGUGAAAGCCCAUCGCUCAACGAUGGAACGGCCAUUGAUACUGUUUGGCUUGAAUUAUUUGGAAGUAACUAGAAUAUGUAGUGUAGCGGUGAAAUGCUUAGAGAUUACAUGGAAUACCAAUUGCGAAGGCAGGUUACUACAAAUUGAUUGACGCUGAUGGACGAAAGCGUGGGUAGCGAACAGGAUUAGAUACCCUGGUAGUCCACGCCGUAAACGAUGGAUACUAGCUGUUGGGAGCAAUCUCAGUGGCUAAGCGAAAGUGAUAAGUAUCCCACCUGGGGAGUACGUUCGCAAGAAUGAAACUCAAAGGAAUUGACGGGGGCCCGCACAAGCGGUGGAGCAUGUGGUUUAAUUCGAUGAUACGCGAGGAACCUUACCAAGGCUUAAAUGUAGAUUGACCGGUUUGGAAACAGACUUUUCGCAAGACAAUUUACAAGGUGCUGCAUGGUUGUCGUCAGCUCGUGCCGUGAGGUGUCAGGUUAAGUCCUAUAACGAGCGCAACCCCUGUUGUUAGUUGCCAGCGAGUCAUGUCGGGAACUCUAGCAAGACUGCCAGUGUAAACUGUGAGGAAAGGUGGGGAUGACGUCAAAUCAUCACGGCCCUUACGCCUUGGGCUACACACGUGCUACAAUGGCCGGUACAGAGAGCAGCCACUACGCAAGUAGGAGCGAAUCUAUAAAACCGGUCUCAGUUCGGAUCGGAG
rnacentral:rRNA from 1 species